UGAGUCCCAACCCAAAAAGUUUUGCGGGUAUUAUUUACCAUAAUAGCCAUUAUACCCAUACCCAUAGCAUAGCUCUGUCCUCUGCCUAGAGUUAAUUGGGGGAGAUCAAUCUUUUCGGCUCGAGCCCUAGAAACUUCAAUUCAUUCAUCCAAAAGUCAAACAUGUUACAGUGCAUAUUUCUUCUCUCCGAUUCCGGAGAGAUGAUGUUAGAGAAGUAGUUGACUGGACACCGUGUUGAUCGAUCAAUCUGUGCUUGGUUUGGGAGCAAUCUAUCUCUCAACCUGAUUCCUUCAAGGUAUUCCUUCCGGAUUCGAUUGUCUGUCGUUAGGGUUUAAUCAAGUUUCAGUUUUUGAAAUUGGGUUUUGCCAGUGAUUGCUUCCCCAACGCAUUAUCUUUUCCAAAUUGUACAUGAGGGGAUCACGUUUUUACCUGUACUCAAGUUGAAAUACCACCAUUGAUGGGGAUUGAGGUUAGUGUAGUUGAGGUUUUCUUCUCUCAAUCAUCAGUUGUUUGUUGGUUGUUGUUGCUGUUGUAUGACCGGACCAUGACAAUAUAUGUCCGGUAUGGUCCGGUCAGGUGUGGUCCAUGGUAUGAAAAGAUUUGGUUUCGGCCC